GAAGAACUCAGAAGCGGGCGCGCGCCUGUGGGCCGAGUCGGCGGGCGGAAGACAACUGGCCUCCAGCCCGCGAGAGAAAGGCCGCGGUGUGCAUCCAAAUGGUGACCUGCAUUUCUCCCGUGUUUCAAACUACCUCAUCAGACCAGACUUCCUGCUGGAAAUUAUCAGUAAAAUUGACAACUCUUGCUAAGAGAGAUCAGCACUAUUCAUUUGUAUGGAGCUACUGGAACAUUAGUAGGACCUUCAGCUCCUGAGAGGGAAACCUUUCCAUUGGGAGGGCAGUAGCAACACCCCAGAGACAGCAGAGGCAGACAGAGAAGAAUCCUGGAAGAUCUGCUCAUUGCCUGGGGAAAUCUGCUCAUUGCACAGGAGGAACCAGUAUCAGUUUGAAUUCCUCAGGGAAAGGGAGGAUUCAGGAAGACACACCGAUGAAAUGGUUCCUGAAGCAAGAGGCACGUCUCAGGGAAUGGGAGCCUUCCCGAAUGGAGAGGCUCAUAGAACUGGUGGCCAAACAAGUUGGGAGUCUGCCUGCUGCCAUGACAACUACACCUGUCAAUGAACUGCCAUCACUACCACCAUCUGCUCCUCCUCCGUCUGCUGCCAAGGGCACUGCCGAGGUGAAGGAGCCAACACUCCCAACGGACUGGGAGGAGAACAUGGAGCCUGCAGUACUCCCCAGACCAGACGUUCCACUGAUGCCCAAAACCCUUCGCAGGGGGGCCUCCCUGAGCUCCCAGGCAGGGAACAGUGAGCCUGCAGAAGUCUCUGAAUCCGACCAAGUGCCCACUCUCCAAACCCCAUCUAGGAGACAUCUUUCUUUGUCCUCAAGAACAAUUUUACCAUGUUAGUCCUCUUUAUCAGGAGGUGGGCAAGGAGACGGGUGCAGAGACAUUAACAUUUCCCCUGGUUGAUGGAUUCAGACCCAUUAUGUUUUAAAUAUUUUUGCUUUACAUUUCUUUAAAUAAUAUUUUACUUAUGAGUUCC